UGCUCCCACCCUCCCUCUGCCUCCUUCUCUGGGCUGCAUGUAAGGAGAUCACUUUGUUUCCGUAGCCUUUUUCCGCGGUGCAGCAGACACACAUGGAGAAGAGGAUUGAAUUUGAGGAGAUACUGACAGGGUGGGAGGUGGAGUGGAUUGGGGAGGGGGUGGUGGUGUUUCACAGCUGCAAGAAUCCCCUCCAUCUUCCCCACACCAGGGCUAAUGCUCCCCUCCCUCUCCCGCUCUCUUCUCGGGGUGUUUGACUCUCCCUCUGCUGCGCUGUCUAUGCUUUCUGCCUGUCGGAGGGGUGGGGGUGCCAUAUGGAGGCUCCGAAAAAUUUAAGCGGAUCGGAGAUAAAGUGAGAGGAACCUUACAUUUGCGAGCUCAGAUGUCGGGAACUAUGUGGGCGGUGAACUUCCAAUUUGUCUCACCAGAAUGUCCUUCACCCUGCCCAGUACACAUUCAUGGGCCUUCAGGUAAUAGUCCGUCUCUCUCAGUGCUCAGAGGUAAGCCGGAUCACAGCAACACACCACCAGUCUCUAGCUGCGCUUCCAUUACAAACAUGCGCAAAACUUUGUCAAUAUUCUGCUAAUAUGUAUUAAAAAAAGAUCAACCUCCAUUUGUCAAUUAUGUGACUCGUGAUAUGAGAAAAGUGUUUCCAUUGCAGUUUUGCCAAGUAAACCAAUUCUGACACGGCCAAUCAAGAAAACAUGUUCUCCUCCUGGCAAAACUUUUUAUCGAAAAAAAUUAGUUUUUUCAAAAUUGCCGUUUCCAUUAGGCAAAUUUUUUUUCCAGACGUCAAGUUGUGCAUUUACAUGGUUUAUGGAAACGCAGCUACUAACUUCCUGCUCUUCAGUGUUCCUGUCCUCUGUGUUGUCGGCCGACAGAAGCAGAGGACAGUGUCAGCUUUGCGCGACUGUCCUGUUUUGCUUGUGUAGUUGCAUCAGCCUUGCGAGUCAGUAAAGAGAGUCGUACUGCGCUAACACACGCUCUGCGUGAGAUAAUUAGCCUGGAGUCGUUUGAAAGCAACUCGGCUCUGCCCAGGUGUCCAGCGCUCACAGAGGGAGACCAGACGACCUUUCCCUACGCCCCGUCCCACUGCAGUCACUUAAAACAGUGAUGGAUGUCCCUUCAUGCGCCCGUCCCACCACCCUCCACUCUGCUUCAGCAACACUCUCACCUUAUUUGUCCCUUCUCUUUCUCCCUUCUCCGCCAUUCGUUGCCUUUUAUGCCCCCCACCCCCAUCUCCUCCUCAUCUUCGCUGUUCCUGCAUAGUGAUGAGAGGGAAGAGGUAGAAGGAAACUGUGGUGAGGAGGCGGGGUUUAAACCGAGCGCUGGACCCCUUUUUCUACCUGUCAGAGAAGGGAGCGUCAGAUUCUCUUCCCCCCCUCCCUCCUUCCUCCGGCUCCUCAUUAGUAUGCAGUGGGUGUCGCUCAGGUGACAUGGCUGCUGGAUCCGGUCCCGACUGCAGGAACAGCAGCAGCAGCGUGGAGGAAACAAGGACAACAGGUAAGGACAAUGAGAGCAGGAGGGGGAAACAAAGAGGAGGAGAGACAGAGACGGACUUCUUCUCUGGAACGCUGUAAACAAGCUGAGCUGUUGGGAAUCGUUUCUGAAACUGAAGCGUUCAGCCUGGAUGGAAAAUCUACUCAAAUCAAACUGACGAUUUCAGCUUUUUCACCAGUGACUCUAUUAGUAGUGUCGGUGUUAGGGAAAAGAAAGUCAACCGCAGUGUCCUGUUCUUCAUGUUGUACACAGUGAUUUUUAAUAAACAUCUCAGAAUGAA